AUCCGAUCGGCUUGCACUGUCU
rnacentral:miRNA from 1 species